rnacentral:lncRNA from 1 species
AGCUGCUGUUUCCCGUGUGUUUCAAAUCAAAUCAAAUGGAUUUAUAAAGCCCUUCUUACAUCAGCUGAUGUCUCAAAGUGCUGUACAGAAACCCAGCCUAAAACCCCCCCAAACAGCAAGCAAUGCAGGUGUAGAAGCACGGUGGCUAGAAUGGUCCACCAUCCAAAUGACACCCAGCUAAUUUAACACAACUGUGGGGAGCGUUGGAGUCAACGUGGGCCAGCGUCCCUGUGGAACGCUUUCCACACCUUGUAGAGUCCAUGUCCCCGACGAACUGAGGCUGUUCUGAGGGGGAAGGGGGAGUGAAGGAAAAGCAGCCGACAAGUGCUCAGCAUAUGUGGGAACUCCCUUCAAGACUGUUGGAAAAGCAUUCCAGGUUCCUUCCCGACCCGAGAAACAGAAGCGGGUGUGUAAAGUCAUAUUGGACCGUUUUGACCAACAGUACGGCCAGGAACUUGGCCCCCUAUGGCCGUCUGCAAGGGCUGUGCUGUUGAACCCUGGGUGUUGGCAGUAUGGAGUGAUGCUCAGCCUCUCCUCCUGUCUCCUACAGGGCUGUGCUGUUGAACCCUGGGUGUUGGCAGUAUGGAGUGAUGCUCAGCCUCUUCUCCUCU